rnacentral:rRNA from 1 species
UACGUAGGGGGCAAGCGUUGUCCGGAUUUAUUGGGCGUAAAGAGCGUGUAGGCGGCUUUACAGGUCCGUUGUGAAAACUCGAGGCUCAACCUCGAGACGCCGGUGGAAACCGUAAAGCUAGAGUCCGGAAGAGGAGUGUGGAAUUCCCGGUGUAGCGGUGAAAUGCGCAGAUAUCGGGAGGAACACCCGUAGCGAAGGCGGCACUCUGGGCCGGAACUGACGCUGAGGAGCGAAAGCGUGGGGAGCAAACAGG